rnacentral:rRNA from 1 species
UACAGAGGGUGCGAGCGUUAAUCGGAAUUACUGGGCGUAAAGCGCGCGUAGGCGGCUUUGCAAGUCGGGUGUGAAAUCCCCAAGCUUAACUUGGGAACUGCAUUCGAGACUGCAUUGCUAGAGUAUGGGAGAGGGAAGUGGAAUUUCCGGUGUAGCGGUGAAAUGCGUAGAUAUGCGGAGGAACACCGAUGGCGAAGGCAAUCUCCUGGGCCUGCACUGACGCUCAUGCACGAAAGCGUGGGGAGCAAACAGG